rnacentral:rRNA from 1 species
UACGUAGGGUGCGAGCGUUGUCCGGAAUUAUUGGGCGUAAAGAGCUCGUAGGCGGUUUGUCGCGUCUGCUGUGAAAACUCGAGGCUCAACCUCGGGCUUGCAGUGGGUACGGGCAGACUAGAGUGCGGUAGGGGUGACUGGAAUUCCUGGUGUAGCGGUGGAAUGCGCAGAUAUCAGGAGGAACACCGAUGGCGAAGGCAGGUCACUGGGCCGCAACUGACGCUGAGGAGCGAAAGCGUGGGGAGCAAACAGG